rnacentral:lncRNA from 1 species
CUUUCCAUUCUCGAGGCCUUAUUCUGCAUUCACUGAUGUUUUAGUUGAAGAGAACUCAGAAUACUCACAUGACAUUCAUUAACGCCAAAGGGCAAAUUAAUUUUAUAAUUGCUAACUAUCAUGUGGGAUACAUUUCAGAAAUAAUCAUAUAUGAUAAAGCACCUGAGCAAAUCAGUCUGCGCUUCCUUUAGAAUUUUUAAGAAAAAGGCCAGGUGCGGUGGAUCACGCCUAUAAUCCCAGCACUCUGGGAGGCCGUGGAGGGUGGAUCACCUGAAGUCGGAAGUUCAAGACCAGUCUGGCCAACGUGAUGAAACCGUCUCUACUAAAAAUACAAAAAAAAAAUUAAAAACUUAGCUGGACAUGGUGGCACAUGCCUGUGAUCCCAGCUACUCUGGAGGCUGAAGCAGGAGAAUUGCUUGAACCUGGAAGGCGGAGGCUGCAGUGAGCCAAGAUAGUGCCACUUCACUCCAGCCUGGGUGACAAAGCAAGACCUUGGCUCAAAAAACAAAACAAAACAAACAAAAAAAAACUCACAGAAUUUUAAGAAAAGGAGUUGCAAAUUAAAAAGAAAGAAUGUGGUUCCAUUGGAUGGUAUACACUUUACUCAUUCAGGAAAUGUUUAUCCAACACCUCAUCUCUGAGAGGCUCUCUGCCGUGCCUGAUUGGGAUAAGGGGGAUUGGCAUGGCCCCUGCUGUGGGUCAUGGUGCAGUAGCAAAGAUACUGCAGAUGUGUAAAUUCGUGUUCUGUGGGCAGAAUAGGAUCAUCCUGCUGAGGCAGGGAAGAGAGGGGACUCCCCUUAGGGACUUAGGAUUUGUGGAGAUGUCACUUGAACUAGAUUUAGAAGAAUGGUUAGCAGUUUACAAAUCAAAGCUGACAGGUCUAGAAGGGCAUUCCAAAUCGAAUUAUUUUCAUUUUACAGUUGAGGAAACUGAGGCAAGGGGAGGUGAAGCUGCCCAAGGCCAGGUUGAUAAUAAGUGGUAGACCAAGAAUUUGAACCCUAACCUGUCUGACUCUGAAAAUGAGUUGCUUAUUUUGUUACACUUGGGCUUUCCCACAAGCUUCCUCAUUUAAUGCAAUGAUGUAGGAGACAUGAUCUUUUUGUUCCCAGGCCAGAAUCUUUUGGCUUUAAGGAAAAGAGACCACACAAACAGUUCAAGUGGAAGGGAGGGUUUUUUGUUGUUACUGUUUCUGCUUUAAAAUAAAGAUACAGGGGACUCUCAGGGACCCAAGUGAAGGAACAGGGCAGAACCGAAUGCACACUGGGUGGGUGCUGACCCUCGAUGGAGGUCUCACUGUCUCUGCAGUCACCCCAGUUUCUGCCCCUCCAAGUUUUCUCCCCUCCCAUUCUCUUCCUGUGCAUGAGUCACCUCUGUUCUUCAUCAGCUCAUCCAUGGUCCCCAAACUUUCCCAAAACCAAGGAGCUUCCAGACCUUGCCCAUUUUAUUUCUUGAGUGAGAGACUUGAUUGGACCAGGUUUUCUAUCGGGACACAGCCCUUCAAGGCCAGUCACCUGUCACCUGUGUUCUGACAUCCUCCCAGUUCCAAAGAACCGUGGUUGAAAGCAGUGGGAAUGGAGACACAUGAUUCAUGGCCACCUGGCAGGACAUAUCUGGUAAGACAGAGAAAUAAGAUCACCAGCCGGGUGCAGUGGCUCAUGCCUGUAAUCCCAGCACUUUGGGAGGCUGAGGUGGGUGGAUCACAAGGUCAGGAGUUCAAUAUCAGUCUGGCCAAGAUGGUGAAACUCCAUCUCUACUAAAAAUAUAAAAAUUAGCCGGGCAUGGUGGUGGGUGCCUGUAAUCCCAGCUACUCGGGAGGCUGAGGCAGGAGAAUAGCUUGAAACCAGGAGGCAGAGGUUGCAAUGAGCCGAGACCACACCACUGUGCUCUAGCCUGGGUAACUGAGCAAGACCUAUCUCAAAAAAAAAAAAAAAAAAAAAA